rnacentral:rRNA from 1 species
GACGAACGCUGGCGGCGUGCUUAACACAUGCAAGUCGAGCGGUAAGGCCCUUUCGGGGGUACACGAGCGGCGAACGGGUGAGUAACACGUGGGUGACCUGCCUUUAGCUCUGGGAUAAGCCUGGGAAACUGGGUCUAAUACCGGAUAUGACUCCGCGGUGCAUGCUGUGGGGUGGAAAGCCUUGUGCGGCUGGAGAUGGGCCCGCGGCCUAUCAGCUUGUUGGUGGGGUGAUGGCCUACCAAGGCGACGACGGGUAGCCGGCCUGAGAGGGCGACCGGCCACACUGGGACUGAGACACGGCCCAGACUCCUACGGGAGGCAGCAGUGGGGAAUCUUGCGCAAUGGCCUAGCGGCUGACGCAGCGACGCCGCGUGGA